rnacentral:rRNA from 1 species
UGGGGAAUUUUGCGCAAUGGGGGAAACCCUGACGCAGCAACGCCGCGUGGAGGAUGAAAUCCCUUGGGAUGUAAACUCCUUUCGAUCGGGACGAUUAUGACGGUACCGGAAGAAGAAGCCCCGGCUAACUUCGUGCCAGCAGCCGCGGUAAUACGAGGGGGCAAGCGUUGUUCGGAAUUAUUGGGCGUAAAGGGCGCGUAGGCGGUUUGACAAGUCUGAUGUGAAAUCUCUGGGCUCAACCCAGAGUCUGCAUUAGAAACUGUCGAGCUUGAGUAUGGGAGAGGUGAGUGGAAUUUCCGGUAUAGCGGUGAAAUGCGUAGAUAUCGGAAGGAACACCUGUGGCGAAAGCGGCUCACUGGACCAUUAACUGACGCUGAGGCGCGAAAGCUAGGGGAGCAAAACA